rnacentral:misc_RNA from 1 species
GGAAGGAUCAUUAACACUUUUUCAUGAUCAAAUACCUCUCUCUCUUCCCCGCUUCAACUAUCCCUUUGUUGGGAUUUUUGGGCGGGAAAGGGGGAGAAAACACCUCAAUCGUUAAAGUUUAUAACCGCCGCAAGGUUGGUUAUAACCCAUUAUAAACACCUUUUCGAAACAUUUACUUUUAUAGUUUGCAUCUGUAACAGGAUGUGAGCGAAAAAAUAAUUAUAAACGAAAAGACGACUUUUAACAACGGAUAUCUUGGCUCUCGCAACGAUGACGAGCGCAGCGAAAUGCGAUACGUAAUGUGAAUUGCAGGAUUCAGUGAAUCAUCAAAAUCUUGAACGCAACUUGCGCUGGUGGUUCCGCCACCAGCAUGCCUGUUUGAGUGUCGGUCUCAACAUUCAAAUAAUAACCAUUAUUUGGAACUGAGCUGUUCAUCCGUCGUCACCUUGAUGAUGAUGGAUCAGCUUGAAAUGACCGAGGAGCAUAAACCAUCUUUGGCAGUACACCAAAGGAAGUUUCUUUCAAUGCUAGGAAUCAUGUUUGAUAUCGUUGAAAUUCAAUGGUUAUCGACCGAUUUCUGGUGAAAGCUUCUUGCUGCUGUUGUGUUUGCUCCCAAACCAAAAACGCACAAUUAUCUAACAAGAUAACUUUGUGCACUCAAACAAACGAUGUUCGUUUGAAUUGUUUUGCGGUUCCUUCCUUUCUUCACCGGAGGAGGGACCACUUAAAUACAUUCGACCUCAAAUCAGGCAAGAGUACCCGCUGGACUUAAGCAUAUUAUUAAGCGGAGGAGAAGAAACUAACCAGGAUUCCCCUAGUAAGGGCGACUGAAGCGGGAAUAGCUCAGAUUUGAAAUCUUUGGGGUUAGACCUCAACGAAUUGUAGUUUUGUGAACGAGCAUCACGGGCAGGUGGUCGCGGUUUAAGUCUCUUGGAAAGGAGCGCCAGAGAGGGUGACAGCCCCGUGUACGACCGCGAUGGCGAAAACGCGCCUGUCAACACGUGUUGCCGUUUCGAAGAGUCGGGCUGCUUGGGAGUGCAACCCAAAAUAGGUGGUAAAUCUCAUCUAAAGCUAAAUACGGGCGAGAGACCGAUAGCGAACAAGUACCGUGAGGGAAAGAUGCAAAGAACUUUGAAAAGAGAGUUAAAAGUACUUGAAAUUGUUAAAAGGGAAGCGAUUGGAAGCAGUCACUGCCCUGCGGCCAUUCAGGCUCGGAGCUGUGCGGGUGCGUUGACGGCGGCGAGGGGCCCAUCGGUGGUCUCCGCUUUGUCGGCGGCGCGAUCUGUGCAGACGGGCUGCACUUGGCUGCGCGGGCGUGUCAGCGUGGAUUGGUCGUUUGCGGUUGAAUAGCGACAGCAAGGUGCCAUGGUGCUCGCGCACUGUGGGUUAUAGGCUGCGCCGGAUGCCGUGCGUACCGAUCGAGGCGUGUUCUCAACACGUGGGGAGGCCUCCUUCAAUGGGGUGGCCAGCCGGUGUGCCAGUGUGUGGCGGCGAUGCGGACAGCAAAGCUGUGCGUGUUGGCGGUCCAUGUGCUGCUCGCGCCGGUGAGCACAAGAUUUCCUCCCAAAGACGCAUGACGAAAUGCUUUCCAUCGACCCGUCUUGAAACACGGACCAAGGAGUCUAACAUGUGUGCGAGUGCUUGGGUGGAAGAAAACCCGGGACGCGUAAUGAAAGUGAAUCUUACAAGGUGGGACGCACUCUAAAAGGGGCGCGGCACCAUCGACCGAUCUUGAUAAUUUGGAUAGAUUUGAGUGUGAGCACACCUGUUGGGACCCGAAAGAAAGCGAACUAUGCUUGCAUAGGGUGAGGCCAGACGAAAGUCUGGUGGAGGCUCGUAGCGAUACUGACGUGCAAAUCGUUCGUCAAAUGUGAGUAUAGCGGCGAAAGACUAAUCGAGCUUUCUAGUAGCUGGUUUCCUC